rnacentral:tRNA from 1 species
GGUUGUGGCUCAGUGGUAGAGCGCUCACCUCACACGUGCAAAACCCUGGGUUCAAUCCUCAGCACCA